CAGCAGCCGCGGUAAGACAGAGGAUGCAAGCGUUAUCCGGAAUGAUUGGGCGUAAAGAGCUCGUAGGCGGUUUGUCGCGCCUGCUGUGAAAACUGGAGGCUCAACCUCCAGCCUGCAGUGGGUACGGGCAGACUAGAGUGCGGUAGGGGAGAUUGGAAUUCCUGGUGUAGCGGUGGAAUGCGCAGAUAUCAGGAGGAACACCGGUGGCGAAGGCAGAUCUCUGGGCCGUAACUGACGCUGAGGAGCGAAAGCGUGGGGAGCGAACAGGAUUAGAUACCCCGGUAGUCCCUGUCUCUUAUAU
rnacentral:rRNA from 1 species